rnacentral:rRNA from 1 species
UGAGUACGAGAUGCUACGGCAUCGAAGCAGUCUAUGUCAUACUUCCAAGAAAAGCUUGCAAUGUCAUAAACAAAUAAUGCCUGUACCAUAACCGACACAGGUGGGUAGGUAGAGUAUACUAAGGGCGCGGGAUAACUCUCUCUAAGGAACUCGCAAAAUGACUCCGUAACUUCGGGAGAAGGAGUGCCUUAUUUUUAUAAGGUUGCAAUAACAAGAUCCAAGCAACUGUUUACCAAAAACACAGGUCUCCGCUAAGUCGUAAGACGAUGUAUGGGGGCUGACGCCUGCCCAGUGCCAGAAGGUUAAAGAAGUUGGUUAGCAUUAGCGAAGCUGAUAACUGAAGCCCUGGUGAACGGCGGCCGUAACGAUAACGGUCCUAAGGUAGCGAAAUUCCUUGUCGGGUAAGUUCCGACCCGCACGAAAGGCGUAAUGAUUUGGAUACUGUCUCGGAGAGGGGCUCGGUGAAAUAGACUUGUCUGUGAAGAUGCGGACUACCUGCACCUGGACAGAAAGACCCUAUGAAGCUUUACUGUAACUUGAGAUUGAGAUUGGACUUUAUCUGCGCAGUAUAGGUGGGAGACGUUGAAAAUAUUCUUGCGGGAAUAUUGGAGUCAUCAGUGAGAUACCACUCUUAUAAUGUUAGAUUUCUAACUUUAUAUCAUUAUCUGGUCAAAGAACAGUUUCAGGCGGGCAGUUUGACUGGGGCGGUCGCCUCCCAAACGGUAACGGAGGCGCACAAAGGUUUCCUCUGAACGUGUAGAAAUCGUAUCUAGAGUGUAAAGGCAUAAGGAAGCUUGACUGUGAGACCUACAAGUCGAGCAGGGACGAAAGUCGGUCUUAGUGAUCUGACGGUGCUGAGUGGAAAGGCCGUCACUCAACGGAUAAAAGUUACUCUAGGAUAACAGGCUGAUCUCCCCCAAGAGUUCACAUCGACGGGGAGGUUUGGCACCUCGAUGUCGGCUCAUCGCAUCCUGGGGCGGUAGUACGUCCCAAGGGUUGGGCUGUUCGCCCAUGAAAGCGGUACGCGAGCUGGGUUCAGAACGUCGUGAGACAGUUCGGUCCAUAUCCGGUGUAGGCGUUAGAAUAUUGAGAGGAGCCUUCUUUAGUACGAGAGGACCGAGAAGGACAUACCUCUGGUGUACCAGUUAUCGUGCCAACGGUAAACGCUGGGUAGCCAUGUAUGGAGAGGAUAACCGCUGAAAGCAUCUAAGUGGGAAGCCCACCUCAAGAUAAGUAUUCCC